rnacentral:rRNA from 1 species
AUUGAACGCUGGCGGCAUGCCUUACACAUGCAAGUCGAACGGUAACAGGUUAAGCUGACGAGUGGCGAACGGGUGAGUAAUAUAUCGGAACGUGCCCAGUCGUGGGGGAUAACGUAGCGAAAGCUACGCUAAUACCGCAUACGAUCUACGGAUGAAAGCGGGGGAUCGCAAGACCUCGCGCGAUUGGAGCGGCCGAUAUCAGAUUAGGUUGUGGGUGAGGUAAAAGCUCACCAAGCCUGCGAUCUGUAGCUGGUCUGAGAGGACGACCAGCCACACUGGAACUGAGACACGGUCCAGACUCCUACGGGAGGCAGCAGUGGGGAAUUUUGGACAAUGGACGCAAGUCUGAUCCAGCAAUGCCGCGUGCAGGACGAAGGCCUUCGGGUUGUAAACUGCUUUUGUACGGAACGAAACGGUGAGCUCUAAUAUAGUUUGCUAAUGACGGUACCGUAAGAAUAAGCACCGGCUAACUACGUGCCAGCCGCCGCCGUAA